rnacentral:misc_RNA from 1 species
AAUCUUCAAAGUAAAUCUUUUGUUCACUCAAUUGGUUCUACUUUGGUAUUGGAGGUUUAUUGCAGCUUCACACCUGCUCCUCUUUGUGCAUUAGCUGGAUUCUCAGUGUUAUGCUUGGUUCCACUCGGCGUGAUAAGUUAAAUUUAAUCGCUGAGGACACACUCUCUAUAACCAAAAAAAGGGGGGGUGGCCAUGGUAAAUACAGAUGAACCCGCUUCUAAUAGUCCAUUGGCUUGGACAAAAAUUAUCUAUUACG